rnacentral:rRNA from 1 species
UACGUAGGGACCAAGCGUUGUUCGGAUUUACUGGGCGUAAAGGGCGCGUAGGCGGCAAUUCAAGUCAUCUGUGAAAUCUCCGGGCUUAACCCGGAACGGUCAGAUGAUACUGCUUUGCUAGAGUGCGGAAGGGGCAAUCGGAAUUCUCGGUGUAGCGGUGAAAUGCGUAGAUAUCGAGAGGAACACCUGAGGUGAAGACGGGUUGCUGGGCCGACACUGACGCUGAGUUCGCGAAAGCCAGGGGAGCAAACGGG